rnacentral:rRNA from 1 species
UUUGACUGUACAAAGGUAGCAUAAUCAAUUGUUCUUUAAUUAAGAUCUAGAAUGAAGGAGGUGAUGAAUUAAAAUCUUUAUUUAAUUUAUAAAUUGAAUUUAAAUUUAAAGUUAAAAUUCUUUAAUAAAAUUAUGGGACGAGAAGACCCUAUAGAAUUUAAUUUUUUUUAUUAUUUUAAAUUUAUUUAUAAAUUUAAUAAAAAAAAUUUAUUUGGGAGGAAUAAUAAAUUUAUAAACUUUAUAAUUUAAUAAACAAUUAUAAUUGAAUAAAUAGAUUUUAAUUUUAAAUAUUAAAUUAAAUUACCUUAGGGAUAACAGCAUAAUAUUUUUGGAAAGAUCAUAUUUAUAAAAAUGUUU